rnacentral:misc_RNA from 1 species
UGAAAUGCGAAAAGUAAUGCGAUUUGCAUGAAUCUGUGAGUCAUCAAGUCUUUGAACGCACCUUGCACCGUAUGAGCAAUCGUACGGUAUACCUGUUUGAGAAUCGUAAAAACCUCUCACACCCCUUCUUGGGGCGUGGUCUUGUCGGCUGUCUGCGCUUUACGGCGCUGACUCUGAUUAAAUGCAGUAGGUCUGGAUCAGGCUGGUGGCCUGGGACAUUGUGUGCUAGAGACGUCGUGCUUGCACUGACUGUCUUCUCACGAUGCGUCCCGGGCUAUCCAAGCCAGUCUGGUGCGGCCUCUACGGACGCGCUGGCCCUCGGGCUGGCGGUCAACCCCCCAAUUUUGAUCUCAAAUCAGGUAAGGCUACCCGCUGAACUUAA